CUUGAACGCUGGCGGCAGGCCUAACACAUGCAAGUCGAGCGGUAGAGAGAAGCUUGCUUCUCUUGAGAGCGGCGGACGGGUGAGUAAUGCCUAGGAAUCUGCCUGGUAGUGGGGGAUAACGUUCGGAAACGGACGCUAAUACCGCAUACGUCCUACGGGAGAAAGCAGGGGACCCUCGGGCCUUGCGCUAUCAGAUGAGCCUAGGUCGGAUUAGCUAGUUGGUGGGGUAAUGGCUCACCAAGGCGACGAUCCGUAACUGGUCUGAGAGGAUGAUCAGUCACACUGGAACUGAGACACGGUCCAGACUCCUACGGGAGGCAGCAGUGGGGAAUAUUGGACAAUGGGCGAAAGCCUGAUCCAGCCAUGCCGCGUGUGUGAAGAAGGUCUUCGGAUUGUAAAGCACUUUAAGUUGGGAGGAAGGGCAGUAAAUUAAUACUUUGCUGUUUUGACGUUACCGACAGAAUAAGCACCGGCUAACACUGUGCCAGCAGCCGCCGUAAAAC
rnacentral:rRNA from 1 species